rnacentral:rRNA from 1 species
GCUCAGAUUGAAACGCUGGCGGCAGGCUUAACACAUGCAAGUCGAACGGUAUACAGGAAAGAGCUUGCUCUUUUGCUGACGAGUGGCGGACGGGUGAGUAAUGCUUGGGAAUCUGUCUUAUGGAGGGGGAUAACUACGGGAAACUGUAGCUAAUACCGCGUAUAAUCGAGAGACCUGAAAGGGUGGGAUCUUGGGACCAUCUGCCAUAGGGUGAGCCCAAGUGGGAUUAGGUAGUUGGUGGGGUAAAGGCCUACCAAGCCGGACGAUCUCUAGCUUUGGUUUGAGAGGAUGACCAGCCACACUGGGACUGAGACACGGCCCAGACUCCUACGGGAGGCAGCAGUGGGGAAUAUUGCACAAUGGGGGGAACCCUGAUGCAGCCAUGCCCGCGUGAAAUGAAGAAGGCCUUAGGGUUGUAAAGUUCUUUCGGUGAUGAGGAAGGUGGUAUAGUUAAUAGCUAUAUCAAUUGACGUUAGUCACAGUAUAAGAAGCACCGGCUAACUCCGUGCCAGCAGCCGCGGUAAUACGGAGGGUGCGAGCGUUAAUCGGAAUAACUGGGCGUAAAGGGCACGCAGGCGGUAACUUAAGUGAGGUGUGAAAGCCCCGGGCUCAACCUGGGAAUUGCACUUCAUACUGGGUUACUAGAGUAUUUUAGGGAGGGGUAGAAUUCCAUGUGUAGCGGUGAAAUGCGUAGAGAUGUGGAGGAAUACCGAAGGCGAAGGCAGCCCCUUGGGAAUAUACUGACGCUCAUGUGCGAAAGCGUGGGGAGCAAACAGGAUUAGAUACCCUGGUAGUCCACGCUGUAAACGCUGUCGAUUUGGGGAUUGGGCUUAAAGCUGGUGGUGCCCGUAGCUAACGUGAUAAAUCGACCGCCUGGGGAGUACGGCCGCAAGGUUAAAACUCAAAUGAAUUGACGGGGGCCCGCACAAGCGGUGGAGCAUGUGGUUUAAUUCGAUGCAACGCGAAGAACCUUACCUACUCUUGACAUCCAUGGAAGAACGCAGAGAUGUGUUUGUGCCUUCGGGAACCAUGAGACAGGUGCUUCUCGGCAUGGCUGUCGUCAGCUCGUGUUGUGAAAUGUUGGGUUAAGUCCCGCAACGAGCGCAACCCUUAUCCUUUGUUGCUAGCAGGUGAUGCUGAGAACUCAAAGGAGACUGCCAGUGAUAAACUGGAGGAAAGGUGGGGGAUGACGUCAAGUCAUCAUGGGCCCUUACGAGUAGGGCUAACACACGUGGGCUACAAUGUCGUGCAUACAGAGGG